rnacentral:pre_miRNA from 1 species
AUAGUACUCACUCCGUCCAACAAAAGAUGUCUCAACUUUGUCAAAAUUUAGAUGUAUCUAGACAUAACUUAGUGUAUAGAUGCAUUUAAAUUUAGUUAAAGUUGAGACAUCCUUUGUUUGACGGAGGAAGUAAUAG